ACCUAUGCUUGAUAAACAUUGUUGUCCUUGGUAACAACGUAUCAUUUGAUCGCGAACAAGUUUAAGGACUAAACGACAAAUCCUCCUUUGUCGAGUCUAAAUAGUCCUAAGGACUUCACCACAACACAGGAGUUCAUUAGAAGAUGAAACAAUUUGUGAUAAAAAAUAUUAAAAUAUUUUUUAUUUAUUUAUAAUUCAUAUACUAA
rnacentral:lncRNA from 1 species